CAAAACUUUCAACAACGGAUCUCUUGGUUCUGGCAUCGAUGAAGAACGCAGCGAAAUGCGAUAAGUAAUGUGAAUUGCAGAAUUCAGUGAAUCAUCGAAUCUUUGAACGCACAUUGCGCCCCCUGGUAUUCCGGAGGGCAUGCCUGUUCGAGCGUCAUU
rnacentral:rRNA from 1 species